rnacentral:tRNA from 1 species
GCCCCUGUAGCUCAGUAGAUAGAGCAGCUUCGUCCUAAGAAGUUGGCCGGGGGUGCAAUUCCCUCCAGGGGUACUA